rnacentral:tRNA from 1 species
GGGAAUGUGGCUUAGUGGUAGAGUGCUUGACUAGCAUGCAUGAAACCCUGGGUUUGAGUCCUAGUACCA